rnacentral:rRNA from 1 species
AACGAACGCUGGCGGCAGGCUUAACACAUGCAAGUCGAACGAGAUCUUCGGAUCUAGUGGCAGACGGGUGAGGAACACGUGGGAGCAUCCCUUUCAGUUCGGAAUAACGUUGGGAAACUAACGCUAAUACCGGAUACGUCCUUCGGGAGAAAGAUUUAUCGCUGAAAGAUUGGCCCGCGUCUGAUUAGCUAGUUGGUGAGGUAAUGGCUCACCAAGGCUACGAUCAGUAGCUGAUCUGAGAGGAUGAUCAGCCACAUUGGGACUGAGACACGGCCCAAACUCCUACGGGAGGCAGCAGUGGGGAAUAUUGGACAAUGGGCGCAAGCCUGAUCCAGCCAUGCCGCGUGAGUGAUGACGCCCUUCGGGUUGUAAAGCUCUUUUGUCCGGGAAGAUAAUGACUGUACCGGAAGAAUAAGCCCCGGCAAACUUCGUGCCAGCCGCCGCAGUAA